UAGGGAAUCUUCGGCAAUGGGGGGAACCCUGACCGAGCAACGCCGCGUGAGUGAAGAAGGUUUUCGGAUCGUAAAGCUCUGUUGUUAAGGAAGAACGAGUGUGAGAAUGGAAAGUUCAUGCUGUGACGGUACUUAACCAGAAAGGGACGGCUAACUACGUGCCAGCAGCCGCGGUAAUACGUAGGUCCCGAGCGUUGUCCGGAUUUAUUGGGCGUAAAGCGAGCGCAGGCGGUUAGAAAAGUCUGAAGUGAAAGGCAGUGGCUCAACCAUUGUAGGCUUUGGAAACUGUUUAACUUGAGUGCAGAAGGGGAGAGUGGAAUUCCAUGUGUAGCGGUGAAACGCGUAGAUAUAUGGAGGAACACCAGUGGCGAAGGCGACUCUCUGGUCUGUAACUGACGCUGAGGCUCGAAAGCGUGGGUAGCAAACAGG
rnacentral:rRNA from 1 species